ACUCUCUCUCUCUCUCUCUCUCUCUCUCUCACACACACACACACACACACACACACACACACACACACGCCAUGACUUUUGUAGGAAGGAUGAAAAAAGCCUGGGCUAGGAACAAGAGGAUCUGAAGUCUAGUUCUCACUCUUACUCCAUUGCUGGCUACUUGAAUGGUCCCUAAAGUUCUUUAUGACUCAUCUGUAAAAUAAAAGCAUUGGCUAUAACAACCUUGACAUGGUCUGCUCUGAAACCACAAGUGUAAACACAAAGUACUGAAUGAAUGCAGAUAAAAAGGACCUUUAGGAAGGAGAUAAUUACCUAGUAUAGGUUCAGCUUAAAAUUAAUGGGUUAUCAGGCACUCUUCCCUUAAAACUUUUCCAAAAAUGAAUAUCACAACUACUUUCCCCAGCCCAGCACUUAGCACCCACCCACAGUCCUCUCUCGUCCUAUCAUCCCAGUCUACUCCUUUUUAUUCACCCUCUGUUUGAAACUGGACUGUUUGUUCUUCUCUAAACAAUUUGUGUAUUUAAACCUCCACGCUUUGACUCCCACUAUUCAUUCCACAUUGAAUCUCCUUCUGUCCCUAUCUGGGUAUUUCUAAAUCCUUUCCUAUGUUUUAAUUCCUGUGUUUUAAUACAUCCUUUGAGAAGCCUUCUGAACCUUCACAGAAUUUAUUUUCCUUUAUUCCUUAUGUCCUUCAACAUUUCUGCCUCUAUUUUGCAGAUGUGGCUUCUUUCUGUCUCCACAUUGUAAGCUUCUUGAAGGCAGUGGCUCCACCUUAUUUAUCUAUCACCCAACAACACGUAUUGCCAGAUAAGGCAAUAAAAUGUGCUGAAUAUAUUAUAGAAAGAUAAUUAUGAAUAUGACACAAUAACAAGACACUAUUUUUAAUGAACAAAUAUCUGAUAGAUUUUUUUCCACUUUAAAUGUGUCCAGAAUCAGAAUUCUAUAGCAGAAAGUUAGAGAUCAUGUGGUUCAAUUUCCUUCCUUUGAAGAAAACGAGGUCAGGAGAAGCUGACCACCUUACUAUGGUCACACUGCUCUUCUAUUUAGAAUAAAAACAAAACCAGACCAGCACUUUCCUAACCUUCCAACUCUCUCUCACCAUAAUGAUCUGCCCUUUCUCUUUCCAUAUGGAACAAUGGAAUAAAACAUAUGAAUCAUAGGAACCCAACAAUGAAUGAAACACAUUAUAUCUGUUGACAUAAUAAACUUGCGUAUCAGCUAAACCUAGCAUUUCCCAUUUCUCAAUCCUAAUUAUUCUUUUACCGUGCUAUUUCCUGUCCACCUAUUCGCUUUGGAAAAAAGGAUGCCUAACAACAAGGAGGGUCACUGUGGUAAUGACUGUCUUGAGACAGGCAGAAUUCUGACUGGACUGAGUUCAGCAGCCACCACGCAAGAGGCUGAUUUGCAUGUGGUUCUCUGAUGUGCUUUGGGAGACGACACCUCCUCUCAUCAAGCAUUAUCUGUCUGGCAUGCUUUUAACAGGACUGAAGUAAACAUAUAUAUUGGAGAAAUAUAGGAAAGGUGUGUUCUGAAAAACAAAUAUGUACACAGAGAUGAUGAAGCCAUAACACGAAUGUGUUACAUCCUUAGAGCAUCUUGGCUCAUUCCCGUAUUUGUUCAUAAACAUUUCACAAGCACAUCCUUUGUGCCAGGAACUUGCCAUAUUGUUUUGUAACCAAUGACACAUCUGUCUCCCCUGUUGGACUGUGAGUUCUUGCAGUCUAGUAAAGAGGGCAGGUAAUUCGAUAAAGGGUUAAAAGCCACUGUAAAUGUAGGAUUAGAGGAAUGUAGGCAGACGGUGAUGGGGACGUGGACAUGGGGCUGAUGGAGCACCCAACUGCCCAGCUGUGGGCUGACAGGAUAGUGUGGGUGGUUGAGGGUUGAGCUGGCUUUUGAAGUGUACAGAGAAUUCGCCAGCCAGAUAAGAGCGGAACGCAUCUGAGAGUGAAAAGAUUAUGCAAAGGCUCAGGCGUAUAAAAGAACCAUGUCACAUUCAGGAACUCUGAGGAGUGAGGAGUAGCAAGAGAGCAGUGGGUACUUGGAGCAAAUACGAUUGGAGACAAGGCUGGUGAGGCAGGCGGGAGAAAGCAGGGCUCAGUGUGCCCUGUACUGGAAUCUGCUCUUGCUCUGGGUUGAAGAUAGCAAGUGCAUCUCUGGGCAACUACUGCAGCUGGCUGUGGGGGACUGAUGCAUACUGUUGAGGCUGAUCUUACUCUGUCUCCUCUCUAUGGACCCGCUGACUGAGGCAAUCAUGAUCUGGUACUGCUCCCCGGCCUCCAGUCUGUGGAACGUGUGCUCAAAGACGUGCUUGGGAAUAGUCUGAGAGUCAACCUUUUGACUGUGCCUGAAUGCCGACACCGUGUAGGAAUCAACGUCUCCCCCACCAGGAGUCCAGUUCACCGUCAGGCUAUCUGUUGCUCCAUUGGGAGAAAUGUGAAUAUUUUUGACAGCACUAGGAACUAAAACAGAAAAUAAAUUUAAAAGUCAUCACUUAGAGAAUGAACUGUUGAAAUUUUCAAACAAAGUUUUGAAUGCUUCUGAUGUUUUGGCACCCACUGAGAGAACUCACAUGAAAAAGAAAGUAACAAUUUGCCACUUUUCUCUGAUUUUUCUGUGUGAACUAAAGUUGAUGGGGGAAAGCUUAGGGGGAAGUCAAAGCCGGUGAGUGGAAAUGAGGAAUGCUAAUUAUAUAGCGAGGGGCUAGUUAGGGUGUCUUGGUCCAAGUUUUGGUUUUCUCACUCACUAGCUGUGGGACUACAGGCAAAUUACUUGACCUCUGUAAGUUUUAGUUUCUUCAUUAGGAAAAAUGGCAGUGAUGAUAAUACUAACCAGCCCAUAGAGUUGUGAAGAUUGAUUCUUUUUUAAUUUAAUUUUAUUUUAUUUUUGAGGUAGGGUCUCUGUCUGUUGUCCAGGCUGGAGUGCAAUGGCAUGAUUAUGGCUCACUGCAUCCUAUACCUCCUGGGCUCAAGUGAUUCUCCCACCUCAGCCUCCCCAGUAGCUGGGACUACAGGCACGUAACACCGUGCCCGGCUAAUUUUUUUGUAUUUUUUGUAGAGACAGGGUUUUGUCAUGUUGCCCAGGCUGUGCUUGAACUCCUGGGCUCAAGCUAUCCUCCUGCCUUGGCUUCCAAAGCAUUGUGAAGACUGAACAAGAUGUAGACAUAAAAUGCUUUGCUGUGGGUCUGGUUCAUGGUGAACUGUCAGUACAUGUUAACUACUAUGGCAACACUCCUAAAAGAGUUCUAAAGAAGUGAUACCCAAGUAACACUUAAUUCUUAAUCUGUGUGCCUCAGAAGCACCAGCUGAUCACAUCAGUUCAUUGCUAUUUCUCUGAAAGCACCCUCCAACCCCGCCACUCUCUGCUGACAUCAUACUUUAUUUUCAUUCAUCCAGGUUGGACAACAUCAUUGUCACUAUCAACAUGACUUUGUCCCUUCUUGCUGUCUCCCUUUUAUCCCUCCAAAUGCUCAAUCGAAAUACCUGAACUACCCGAAAGUUAAAUGCACCACUGCAUCUAUUCAGGUUCAAGAACAGUAUUUCACAUUACCUGUGAAGCCCUCAAUGAAGGCUGACUGCUGUACAUCCCCGCUAAUCGUCAAGACAAGAAUUUUGUAUUGGCGGCCUGGUGUUAGGGAAGUAAAUCGAUACUCGGUUGCGGUAUUUACAAGGUGAAAAGGAGGAAAUACUUUCAUGUCAUUGAAGAGCAGCUGGAUCUCAUAUUGGUCGACAUCCCCAUUAGCUCCUGACCAAGUCACAUGCAAGUCCUCAGUGCUCCUGUUGCGCAAUGUUAGAUCCUUAACAGGCUCUGGAACUAGGGAGAAAAAUGAGAAGACAUUUCAGGAAAGGAACUGAUCAGAGUUUACCUACAUAAUAAUUUAUGAAUCACAUUCAAGGAACUGGCAACAUCUCCCUUCCCCAAAUAAACCACUAGCACUACUUCAUGCAUAAUUAAACAAGAAAAAUUGGAAGCAACUAUUAACAUUGUGGUUUUUUCCUGACAUAAAUGUUACAUGAUCAGCAUUGGUAGAACAUAAUUAUAAAAUGAGUUAUGAUCUCAAUCAUAAGAUAAAACAAGAAGUCUAGAAUCUAAAUGCCAUGAUGCAGGAAGAUAGGGAAGAAAAAUGGGACAUUUAGCCUUCUUGCUCCCUCACUAUGUUUGCUUUUAUCUACCAAUAAAUAUUCUGUAAUUAUAGGCCAUGGCUUGGCUGAAUGAUGUUAGCACCAAGUGAGACUUACUGGGAAUGUAAUGUACUAAUGAAUAAGCAGAAAAAAUUCAAGGUUCAGAUAAAUUACUAGAGACUUUCAAGUCCAACCAACUGUCAGAUUUUGCAAUCGUUCCACUUACUUG
rnacentral:lncRNA from 1 species